rnacentral:rRNA from 1 species
UAACGCGUAGGUAACCUGCCUUGUAGCGGGGGAUAACUAUUGGAAACGAUAGCUAAUACCGCAUAACAAUGGAUGACACAUGUCAUCUAUUUGAAAGGGGCAAUUGCUCCACUACAAGAUGGACCUGCGUUGUAUUAGCUAGUAGGUGAGGUAACGGCUCACCUAGGCGACGAUACAUAGCCGACCUUAGAGGGUGAUCGGCCACACUGGGACUGAGACACGGCCCAG